rnacentral:rRNA from 1 species
GACGAACGCUGGCGGCGUGCCUAAUACAUGCAAGUAGAACGCACAGUUUAUACCGUAGCUUGCUACACCAUAGACUGUGAGUUGCGAACGGGUGAGUAACGCGUAGGUAACCUGCCUGGUAGCGGGGGAUAACUAUUGGAAACGAUAGCUAAUACCGCAUAAUAUUGAUUAUUGCAUGAUAAUUAAUUGAAAGGUGCAAUUGCACCACUACCAGAUGGACCUGCGUUGUAUUAGCUAGUAGGUGAGGUAACGGCUCACCUAGGCGACGAUACAUAGCCGACCUGAGAGGGUGAUCGGCCACACUGGGACUGAGACACGGCCCAGACUCCUACGGGAGGCAGCAGUAGGGAAUCUUCGGCAAUGGACGAAAGUCUGACCGAGCAACGCCGCGUGAGUGAAGAAGGGUUUCGGAUCGUAAAGCUCUGUUGUAAGAGAAGAACGGGUGUGAGAGUGGAAAGUUCACACUGUGACGGUAGCUUACCAGAAAGGGACGGCUAACUACGUG